rnacentral:lncRNA from 1 species
UCAUACAAAAUACGGUGAAGCUUCCCACAACCACGGUAAGGCGGAUAGGGUCGGGCUGACUGAGCUCCACUAGCUUGAGACUGAGCACCCUAUACUUGAGGACCAUUUUUAUACUGAAAAUGCCAAUCACUCAAAGGCUUAGGAUAAGAAAUACUAGCAGACAAAUAUGAAUUUCUCAAUUCUUUUUCUUAGGUUGUUACCUACCAUCUUUCCUACUGUUUUGGUAAUUUUCC